GUUUGAUCUUUUUUUAAGUCUUAAUAGCUUGAAAUUUAUUCAAAAGCUAAUUUUUUGCCAUCUGGAGUUCCCAAGUUUCAACUUUUUUUGAUUCCCUUUUGUUAUUUGCAUGCUACUUCCACUUCUUCUUUUUUUUUUUGCUUGGAUUUAUUCUUCUUGGUUUUGGUUUUUGUAACUUUCUUUAAUUGUUGGGUGUUUUUGAUUCCUUUUGGAAGUUUCUUUAUCUAAGCUCCUUAUUUUGUCUUUGAUUCAAAUUUGUCUUUUUUUUUUUUUGAAUUAAAGUUGUAUGUCCUUUAUUUCAAACCUUAUACCUUUUUUUAGGUAUUGUUUUAUAGUUGGAAGUUAGCCAUUUGGUAUCCCUUUAUGACUUUAAUACUCUGACCCUUUAUUUUAAUUUUAAAAAAGUACUUUUGUAUAAUUGGUUGCUAUUUUGACAAUUCUGAUUGCAACAACUUUUGUGUGCUAAGGCAACUUGUUUGCUGUUAUAAUCUAAUUUCAGGAAACUUCUGGUGGGAAGCUGAUUGUUUAAGGCAUCGCUGUUUCUGAUACAUCACAUUUCGGAAAAGUGUGUGCUUAGUUGAUAUUUGUGGACAACAAAAGGAUGGGAGAUCAUUUUGUGUUUUUGGUUGAUCGGUUGCUAACUGAAUCAACUUUGGAGGCUGCAAUUGAAAGCAGAAACCAGAAACAGCUGGUGUCGUCGACGACAAACGAUCCAGUAGCUGAUUGCUCUUCUCAGGAAUCUGAUCCUUUCUUGACUCCUAGGAAAAUGGUUGAAUGGUCGACGACAAAUGAUCCAGUAGCUGAUUGCUCUUCUCAGGAAUCUGAUCCUUUCUUGACUCCUAGGAAAAUGGUUGAAUGCAGGAUAUGUCAGGAUGAAGAUGUGGAUUCGAAUAUGGAGACUCCUUGCUCUUGCUGUG
rnacentral:lncRNA from 1 species